rnacentral:lncRNA from 1 species
UUCGGUCAGUGUCACGGGGUGGUAAACAUGUGUUAAACUAAUGUAACCAAUUUUUAACAGGGUCGGGACCACACUUAGGGCAUCUCCAAUGGUUGUAUGAUCAUCGUUGGUAAUAUUGCCACAUAGAUGAUUUUGAUGACAUGGCGCAUAAUAAAAGAAGAAAGAGAAUGAAAUCGUAUGAACUUGAAGCAACGGUUCACGCACAAGCUCCGAGGCAAGCAUGGUUAUUUCUUUCAUGUUUAGUGGACCCGCUUAGUUAUUUUACAUACGAUUAACAUACACUCCAUUGAAGAGCUUGUAUGAUGUGUUGUUGAUUGUUGAUGUGGACACUUAUAUCAACGAUUGAACAUACGGACUGUUGAAGAUGCUCUUAGUGGCUAUAUGGGUUAAUUACCAGGUGGUUUAACUACUAAUGGCGCGCCACGUCAUCUGUUAACGCCGACGCUAAUCCGAUGGCUCAGUGAUCGCCAGCCUGCCGAUUUCGGUGAUGUACGGAUGCUAGGGUGGUCGGGUUUGUCGCUGGCGUCGAGGUCAGGCAGCGGCGGCGCUCGGGUUAGUCGUGGUCGUUGGUGCGGCGUGCAAGCGAGCUGAGAAACGAGCUCGUUAGGCUGCCGGGGAUUUGGCAAGGGUGGUAACGCGCUUGGGUGCACCGUGCGCGCGCUGGGGCUGCGGUGGCGACUAAUGCAGCGGCGGCAGGAGAACGGUACAAGGGGGCGACGUACACAGCGUGAAAUCGAGCAGGAUGGCAAGGGGAAU